GAGUUUGAUCCUGGCUCAGGAUAAACGCUGGCGGCAUGCCUAAUACAUGCAAGUCGAACGGAAAAUCCUUCGGGGUUUUCAGUGGCGAACGGGUGAGUAACACGUAAGGAACCUGCCCCACAGACGAGGAUAACCACGGGAAACUGUGGCUAAUACUGGAUAAGACAUUUACUCGCAUGAGUUUAUGUUUAAAGACGCUUUCAAGCGUUACUGUGGGAUGGCCUUGCGCAGCAUUAGCUAGUUGGUAGGGUAACGGCCUACCAAGGCGACGAUGCUUAGCUGGACUGAGAGGUUGAACAGCCACACUGGGACUGAGACACGGCCCAGACUCCUACGGGAGGCAGCAGUAGGGAAUUUUCGGCAAUGGGCGAAAGCCUGACCGAGCAAUGCCGCGUGAACGAUGAAGGCCUUCGGGUCGUAAAGUUCUGUUGUUAAGGAAGAACAGGUAUACCAGGAAAUGGGUAUAUUUUGACGGUACUUAACCAGAAAGCUCCGGCUAACUACGUGCCAGCAGCCGCGGUAAUACGUAGGGAGAGAGCGUUAUCCGGAAUUAUUGGGCGUAAAGCGUGCGUAGGCGGUUUUUUAAGUCAAACGUGAAAUCCCACAGCUUAACUGUGGACGGUCGUUUGAAACUGGAAAGCUAGAGUACGGCAGAGGUUAGUGGAAUUCAAUGUGUAGCGGUAAAAUGCGUUGAUAUAUUGAGGAACACCAGUGGCGAAGGCGGCUAACUGGACCGGAACUGACGCUGAAG
rnacentral:rRNA from 1 species